rnacentral:rRNA from 1 species
GCCUACAUUUUAGCCUAUUAUAAACCCCAUGUACACCACCCAAUAACAUUUUUAAAUAAAACAUUUCUUUAGUUAAGUACAGGCGAUCAAAAAACUUAUUAGCGCUUUAUCAUUAGUACCGCAAGGGAAAAAUGAAAUAGCUAUGAAAUAGCCUCAAAGCACAACAUAGCAGAGCUCACCCCUCGUACCUUUUGCAUCAUGAUUUAGUCAGUCUACAUCAAGCAAGAUAAAACCAAGUUUGAUCCCCCGAAACUAGACGAGCUACUUUUAAACAGCUUUAUAGAGCCAACCCAUCUCUGUUGCAAAAGAGCGGGAUGAUUUUUAAGUAGAGGUGAAAAGCCUACCGAGCCUAGAGAUAGCUGGUUACUUAAGAAAGGAAUUUUAGUUCAACUUCAAGUUCAUUAAUUUUAUCAACAAACACUAAAAACUUGAAAGCUACUCAAAUAAGGCACAGCUUAUUUGAUUAAGGAUACAGCCUACAAAAAGGGGUAAAAUUACACACACAGACCAAGUGGGCCUAAAAGCAGCCAUCUUUAAAAAAGCGUUUAAGCUUCCUCUCAAAUUUAACUUAAUUCUUUAAAACACCUUUAACCCUUUAUUACUAUUAAGUAGUUUUAUAUUAUUAUAAAAGCCUUUAUACUAAAACUAGUAACAAGAAAUUGAUUUUUCUCCUAAAUAUAAACAUAAACCAAAAUGGACAAACCAUUGGUAUUUAACGUCUAUAAGCCCACUAUAGUAACACACCAAGAAAAUUCUAUAGACACACACGUUAACCUAACACAAGAAUAUUCCAGGAAAGAUUAAAAGAAAAGGAAGGAACUCGGCAAAUUUCAACCCCGCCUGUUUACCAAAAACAUCGCCUCUUGAUUAAACAUAAGAGGUCUAGCCUGCCCAAUGACUUCUUUCAAUGGCCGCGGUACCCUGACCGUGCAAAGGUAGCAUAAUCAUUUGUUCUCUAAAUAAGGACUUGUAUCAACGGCAUCACGAGGGUUGUACUGUCUCCCUUUUUUAAUCAAUGAAACUGACCUCCCCGUGAAGAGGCGGGGAUUAAACUACAAGACGAGAAGACCCCAUGGAGCUUUAAACCCAAUAGUAACCUACAUUUACAUUACCCACAAAGCUGCAAAGAUUUUAUCUAUUGGUUUUAGGUUGGGGUGACCACGGAGUAAAACAAAACCUCCUUGACGAACGGUCUUAAUCCUAAUCCAAGAGCUACCGCUCUAAGAAUCAAAAAUUUGACGUAAAAUGAUCCACAAUUGAUCAACGAACCAAGUUACCCUGGGGAUAACAGCGCAAUCCAUUUCAAGAGCCCCUAUCAACAAAUGGG